GAAUAAGAUUUCAAAUGAAGUUUAGAUUUUAUUAAAAAUUCUACAGUAUAAAUUCAUUAUUAUUUCUGCUUAUUUAAAAACAAAAAUUGGAAAGAAUUUUAUAAACCUCUGAAGAUAUGUUACACUCUGCAAAGACUAAAUAAAAUACAAUUUUCAAAUAUUUACAAGCGAAUUUUAAGAGGUUUUAGUUAGCCUCAAAAACCUAGUGAGGCAUACUGUAUUAUCUUAUAAACUAUUGGUUGUAACAUAAUAAAUAGCUCAAUAUAAAUGAAUUUAAGCACAAACCAUAUAUCACAUAUUACAUGAAAUAGAAAAAAAUUGAUAGUGUCUUCCCCCAAAUUACCCUAGAAAUUUCAAAGAUUACAUAAUAACCAACAUACAAUUGUCAAAACAAAAUGAACAUAUGAAAUAGGAGUAUCAACUAAAAAUUGUAUGUAGUUACUAAAUUUCAUUUCUUAAUGAGCAAUUAUUGAAACUGUUAAGAACUGAUGUCCUACACAAUGGGAUCUAUGUUAUAUAAUACGACUGGCGGAGGCAGUCAAUAGAAAGUUUCAGAAAUGCAAAACAACUGCAAUUUUGUAUAUAUUGAUGCAGGACUUUUUUAAUGCAUGUUAUUCA
rnacentral:lncRNA from 1 species